rnacentral:rRNA from 1 species
GAUGAACGCUAGCUACAGGCUUAACACAUGCAAGUCGAGGGGUAACGAGAGGAAAGCUUGCUUUCCUUGUCGACGACCGGCGCACGGGUGAGUAACGCGUAUCCAACCUGCCCCCAACUAGGGAAUAACCUUGCGAAAGUAAGACUAAUACCCUAUAAUUUCCUCAGAUGACAUCUGACGAGGAAUAAAGAUUUAUCGGUUGGGGAUGGGGAUGCGUCUGAGUAGCUUGUUGGCGGGGUAACGGCCCACCAAGGCAACGAUCAGUAGGGGUUCUGAGAGGAAGGUCCCCCACAUUGGAACUGAGACACGGUCCAAACUCCUACGGGAGGCAGCAGUGAGGAAUAUUGGUCAAUGGGCGGAAGCCUGAACCAGCCAAGUAGCGUGCAGGAUGACGGCCCUAUGGGUUGUAAACUGCUUUUAUACAGGAAUAAAGUUAGCCACGUGUGGUUAUUUGUAGGUACUGUAUGAAUAAGGACCGGCUAAUUCCGUGCCAGCAGCCGCCGUAA